rnacentral:rRNA from 1 species
ACCUUGGGGGGCGGCUACACAUGCAAGUCGAGCGGAACGAGUUGUCUGAACCUUCGGGGAACGAUAACGGCGUCGAGCGGCGGACGGGUGAGUAAUGCCUGGGAAAUUGCCCUGAUGUGGGGGAUAACCAUUGGAAACGAUGGCUAAUACCGCAUAAUAGCUUCGGCUCAAAGAGGGGGACCUUCGGGCCUCUCGCGUCAGGAUAUGCCCAGGUGGGAUUAGCUAGUUGGUGAGGUAAUGGCUCACCAAGGCGACGAUCCCUAGCUGGUCUGAGAGGAUGAUCAGCCACACUGGAACUGAGACACGGUCCAGACUACUACGGGAGGCAGCAGUGGGGAAUAUUGCACAAUGGGCGCAAGCCUGAUGCAGCCAUGCCGCGUGUAUGAAGAAGGCCUUCGGGUUGUAAAGUACUUUCAGCAGUGAGGAAGGUGGAAGUGUUAAUAGCACUAUCAUUUGACGUUAGCUGCAGAAGAAGCACCGGCUAACUCCGUGCCAGCAGCCGCGGUAAUACGGAGGGUGCGAGCGUUAAUCGGAAUUACUGGGCGUAAAGCGCAUGCAGGUGGUUUGUUAAGUCAGAUGUGAAAGCCCGGGGCUCAACCUCGGAAUUGCAUUUGAAACUGGCAGACUAGAGUACUGUAGAGGGGGGUAGAAUUUCAGGUGUAGCGGUGAAAUGCGUAAUAGAUCUGAAGGAAAAUUGGAGGCUAAAGCGGCCCCCUGGUACU